rnacentral:tRNA from 1 species
GCUCAGUUGGUUAAACGUAUGACUCCUGAUUUCAGCUUAGGUCAUGAUCUCAUAGGUUGUGGGUUCGAGCCCCACGUUGGGCU